AUGGCCGUUCUUAGUUGGUGGAGUGAUUUGUCUGCUUAAUUGCGAUAACGAACGAGACCUUAACCUGCUAAAUAGCCCGGCCCGCUUUGGCGGGUCGCCGGCUUCUUAGAGGGACUAUCGGCUCAAGCCGAUGGAAGUUUGAGGCAAUAACAGGCCUGUGAUGCCCUUAGAUGUUCUGGGCUGCACGCGCGCUACACUGAUACGUUCAUCGAGCUUACAACCUUGACUGGAAGGUCUGGGUAAUCUUCAAAAGCGUAUCGUGAUGGGGAUAGAUUAUUGUAAUUUUUGAUCUUCAACGAGGAAUUCCUAGUA
rnacentral:rRNA from 14 species